rnacentral:tRNA from 1 species
GCCAGUGUGGUGUAGUGGUUUGAGCAUUGGACUGCGACUCUGGAGACCAGGGUUCGAUUCUCAGCUUGGCCA